GCGCCUGUAGCUCAGCUGGAUAGAGCAACGGCCUUCUAAGCCGUGGGUCGGGGGUUCGAAUCCCUUCGGGCGCACCA
rnacentral:tRNA from 1 species